rnacentral:tRNA from 1 species
GCGGACGUAGCUCAGUUGGUAGAGCGCAACCUUGCCAAGGUUGA